AAAAAGAAACAAAUACAACUGAAAAACAUAAAGAGAAAACAUAGUUUGGAAAUAGCAAGGAGAAGGAAGGAGUGAGGAAGAAAAAGUGAUCCCACCCCAUGACAUCAUGCUAUUGCUGGAAUGCCAGCACAGAAGCAGAAUGGACCCAUCACACCAAGAGUGGCAUUUGCAUCUUUUCAAAAGGAGUUUGGUUCCCUACAUUUCGUAUAAAACAAAUGCGGGGCAAGGGAGGCAGAGAAAAGAGAAAACGAACUAGUGCACCAAUGCAACAUUUUAUGUGUUGACUCCCUUGUUCUACUUUGCCAAUUGUUUUGAAAGAUUCCGGAUGAUCCAUGUGCAGAAAUGGCUUUAAAGGAAACUAAUAAAGACAUAGGAGCCUCAA